rnacentral:rRNA from 1 species
AGCGAACGCUGGCGGCAUGCUUUACACAUGCAAGUCGAACGGUAACAGGCCGCAAGGUGCUGACGAGUGGCGAACGGGUGAGUAAUGCAUCGGAACGUGCCCAGUCGUGGGGGAUAACGCAGCGAAAGUUGCGCUAAUACCGCAUACGAUCUAUGGAUGAAAGCGGGGGACCGUAAGGCCUCGCGCGAUUGGAGCGGCCGAUGUCAGAUUAGGUAGUUGGUGGGGUAAGGCUCACCAAGCCGACGAUCUGUAGCUGGUCUGAGAGGACGACCAGCCACACUGGGACUGAGACACGGCCCAGACUCCUACGGGAGGCAGCAGUGGGGAAUUUUGGACAAUGGGCGCAAGCCUGAUCCAGCAAUGCCGCGUGCAGGAAGAAGGCCUUCGGGUUGUAAACUGCUUUUGUACGGAACGAAACGGUCCUGGUUAAUACCCGGGGCUAAUGACGGUACCGUAAGAAUAAGCACCGGCUAACUACGUGCCAGCCGCCGCCGUAAAAC